UUAUCCGGAUUUAUUGGGUUUAAAGGGAGCGUAGGCGGGUGCUUAAGUCAGUUGUGAAAGUUUGCGGCUCAACCGUAAAAUUGCAGUUGAUACUGGGCGCCUUGAGUGCAGCAUAGGUAGGCGGAAUUCGUGGUGUAGCGGUGAAAUGCUUAGAUAUCACGAAGAACUCCGAUUGCGAAGGCAGCUUACUGGACUGUAACUGACGCUGAUGCUCGAAAGUGUGGGUAUCAAACAGGAUUGGAUACCCUGGUAGUCCACACAGUAAACGAUGAAUACUCGCUGUUGGCGAUACACAGUCAGCGGCCAAGCGAAAGCAUUAAGUAUUCCACCUGGGGAUACGCCGGCACACGGUGAA
rnacentral:rRNA from 1 species